rnacentral:tRNA from 1 species
GUUUAGCUCAGUUGGUUAGAGCGUCGGAUUGUGGUUCCGAAGGUCGUGGGUUCGAGACCCACA